AAGGGCCAUCGCUCAACGGAUAAAAGGUACGCCGGGGAUAACAGGCUGAUCUCCCCCAAGAGUUCACAUCGACGGGGAGGUUUGGCACCUCGAUGUCGACUCAUCGCAUCCUGGGGCUGAAGCCGGUCCCAAGGGUCGGGCUGUUCGCCCGUUAAAGCGGUACGAGAGUUGGGUUCAGAACGUCGUGAGACAGUUCGGUCCCUAUCUGAUGUGGGCGGAGGAGAUUUGAGAGGGGCUCUCGCUAGUACGAGAGGACUGCGAGGGACGGACCUCUAGUGUGCCGGUUGUCGCGCCCGCGGCAGUGCCGGGUAGCUAUGUCCGGUUGGAUAACCGCUGAAAGCAUCUAAGCGGGAAGCCUGCCUCAAGAUGAGAUCUCCCUUGAGCACUCAACUUGUUGAGUGCGCGACUGAAGGCCACUCGUAGACGACGAGUUUGAUAGGUUGGAAGUGGAAGGGCUGUGAGGCCCGAAGCUCACCAAUCCUAAUCGGCCGUGAGGCUUCACAAU
rnacentral:rRNA from 1 species